rnacentral:rRNA from 1 species
CACCGCCGCGGUAAAACGUAGGUGGCAAGCGUUGUCCGGAAUUAUUGGGCGUAAAGGGCUCGCAGGCGGUUUCUUAAGUCUGAUGUGAAAGCCCCCGGCUCAACCGGGGAGGGUCAUUGGAAACUGGGAAACUUGAGUGCAGAAGAGGAGAGUGGAAUUCCACGUGUAGCGGUGAAAUGCGUAGAGAUGUGGAGGAACACCAGUGGCGAAGGCGACUCUCUGGUCUGUAACUGACGCUGAGACGCGAAAGCCAGGGGAGCGAACGGGAUUAGAUACCCCAGUAGUCCCUGUCUCUUAUACA